rnacentral:rRNA from 1 species
UACGUAGGCAGCGAGCGUUGUUCGGAGUUACUGGGCGUAAAGGGUGCGUAGGCGGUCAUUUAAGUAGGGUGUGAAAGCCCUCGGCUCAACCGGGGAACUGCGUCCUAAACUGGGUGACUGGAGUGAGAUAGAGGUGUGUGGAACUUCCAGUGGAGCGGUGAAAUGUGUUGAUAUUGAAGGAACGCCGGUGGCGAAAGCGACACACUGGGUCUCAACUGACGCUGAGGCAGCGAAAAGCCGGGAGGGAGCAAACAGGGAUUUAGAAACCCCGUA